GUAAUGGUGUCUUUAGACACCACCUUUGUUUUUUUUUAAAGUUGUCU
rfam:Picea glauca, whole genome shotgun sequence.